GACGGAGGAGGCAAGCGAUAUCCGGAAUUAUUGGGCGUAAAGGGUACGUAGGCGGCUGGUCAAGUCUGGGGUCAAAGGCCACAGCUCAACUGUGGGAAGGCCCUGGAAACUGACCGGCUAGAGUGAGGUAGGGGUUGCGGGAAUUCCCGGUGUAGCGGUGAAAUGCGUAGAGAACGGGAAGAACACCUGAGGCGGAAGCGCGCAACUGGGCCUCAACUGACGCUGAGGUACGAAAGCUAGGGGAGCUAAUGGG
rnacentral:rRNA from 1 species